GGAGAAGUGGCCGAGUGGUCGAAGGCGCUCCCCUGCUAAGGGAGUAAGGGCUUUAACUCCCUUCGAGGGUUCGAAUCCCUUCUUCUCCGCCA
rnacentral:tRNA from 1 species